rnacentral:rRNA from 1 species
UGCCAGCAGCCGCGGUAAUACGGAGGGUGCAAGCGUUAAUCGGAAUUACUGGGCGUAAAGGGCGCGUAGGUGGCCAGAUAAGUCGAAUGUGAAAGCCCCGGGCUUAACUUGGGAAUUGCAUCCGAUACUGUCUAGCUAGAGUGUGGCAGAGGGAAGCGGAAUUCCGGGUGUAGCGGUGAAAUGCGUAGAUAUCCGGAGGAACAUCAGUGGCGAAGGCGGCUUCCUGGGUUAACACUGACGCUGAGGCGCGAAAGCGUGGGGAGCAAACAGGAUUAGAUA